rnacentral:rRNA from 1 species
GACGAACGCUGGCGGCGUGCUUAACACAUGCAAGUCGAACGGAAAGACCCUGCUUUUGUGGGGUGCUCGAGUGGCGAACGGGUGAGUAACACGUGAGUAACCUGCCCUUGACUUUGGGAUAACUUCAGGAAACUGGGGCUAAUACCGGAUAGGAGCUCCUGCUGCAUGGUGGGGGUUGGAAAGUUUCGGCGGUUGGGGAUGGACUCGCGGCUUAUCAGCUUGUUGGUGGGGUAGUGGCUUACCAAGGCUUUGACGGGUAGCCGGCCUGAGAGGGUGACCGGCCACAUUGGGACUGAGAUACGGCCCAGACUCCUACGGGAGGCAGCAGUGGGGAAUAUUGCACAAUGGGCGGAAGCCUGAUGCAGCAACGCCGCGUGCGGGAUGACGGCCUUCAGGUUGUAAACCGCUUUCGCCUGUGACGAAGCGUGAGUGACGGUAAUGGGUAAAGAAGCACCGGCUAACUACGUG